GACGAACGCUGGCGGCGUGCUUAACACAUGCAAGUCGAACGAAGAGCGAUGGAAGCUUGCUUCUUUCAAUCUUAGUGGCGAACGGGUGAGUAACGCGUAAUCAACCUGCCCUUCAGAGGGGGACAACAGUUGGAAACGACAGCUAAUACCGCAUACGAUCUAAUCUCGGCAUCGAGGAAAGAUUAAAGGUGGCCUCUAUUUAUAAACUAUCACUGAAGGUGGGUAGUGCGUGUGAUUAGCUAGUUGGAGGGGGAACGGCCCCCCAAGGUGAUGAUCAGUAGGCGGUCUGGAGGGAUGGACGGCCAAAUUGGGACUGGGACACGGCCCCGAAUCCCAAGGGGGGCAGCAGGGGGGAAACUUUCGCAAUGGAGGAAAGGCUGACGGAGCAACGCCGCGUGGGGGAUGACGGCCUUCGGGUUGUAAAGCUCUGUUAGUCGGGACGAAAGGCCUUCUUGCGAACAGUUAGAAGGAUUGACGGUACCGGAAUAGAAAGCCACGGCUAACUACGUG
rnacentral:rRNA from 1 species